UGCCAGUUGUUUUCAACUUCUCAGCAGCAUCCAGUCUUGCAGUGAGAUCCUUGCAGCGAGAUCCUGUGCGAAGUCUCAUUUUCUUCCAUGGGGUUCUGCACUGCCUUGUCUUAUUGAAGAAGCAGGUCCAAACUGGCAACACAGCAGAGAGAAGAAAUUCUCAAAGAUACAAAUUUGGCAGGAGAGGGAAAAGGAAUGGAACAGAGCUGAAGAAAGGAGAGAACACCCUGCAACAGGCUUGGCUGGGACUCAAACUUUUCUGACCUUUCCUUGCUGCACCAUCCACCAUCUUAAUGAGAAGACUAGAUGGUAACUUCCGGCCAGCAAUCUGAGCUUAGUUCUGGAUUGUUGCAAGUAUUUUCCUGUGUGCCCUGUUUAGAGAGGGACAGAAAGAAAAUCCCAUUCCAAGUCAAGCUUAAAUGGAUCACCCUUUAAAUGACGACACCAUAAUUCCCACUUCCAGACCAGGGAUUAUUAGCCUUGAACACAACUCGUGGAAAAGACAUAACAGUUAGGCUCAUGUUCUGGCUGAUGAGCUGCCUGGGACUGUCUGGCAUAUUCAUUUCUAACUCCAUCCUUUAGCUUUCUUUCUUUCAUUCUUCAGCCAAGAACCACAAGGGACUGAAUAUGUGAGGGCUUCUACCCAAUUAUGCCUCUCUUUAAUGGCAUUAGGAAACUUGAAAGCAGUUCAAUACCUAGCAGAGGUAGAUGGAAUAUUAGCAUCUGAGAAGAUUUAUGUUCAUGACCUUCUGGAUGUAAGGUGACAGAACAGCCCAUGCUAUGCUACAUCUGAUAUGCAUAUUCAUGGCUCGUUUAUUCAUGAAAGAAAUGACUGGAUUAGCAAUAGUUUGAAGGACGUUGAGCAUGGAGUUGAAAGAGACUCUCAAGUUGUUCACCAGACAAAUUAGAACUCCAUCUUUGUAAUAAAUUGGUACCACUGUAAACCUUGCAUAUCUUUGUUGUUAUUGGAAAUACUGUGUUGUAUUUUAUUGGAUUGGAAACAUUGCACAGCUAUCAAGCUGUCAAUUAUUUUAGCACAACACAAGGUUUCUGAUGUUGAUAGAUGGUGAUUCUAAAUAAUUUUUAUAAAGUGUUUCUACUUCCAGUGGUGUCAUGAAGCCUGCCUGCCUGCCUCUGAAAUAUUGUGAUUUUUUUGAAGCACUCACUUGAUAACACUCUUUAAUUGUAACAUUAAUCUGUGUCAAUCAAAUGCUUGCAGACUUGUUAUAUAGAUUUUUUUUUAUCCGAUGUUUUCAUGGGGUGGAGAAUAUUAAGAUCAUACAAAACGGUUGACACCCUCUGAAGAGAGAAGUGAUGCCAGACUUGCAACCAAUCACGAAAAUGCAUGUUAUGAAGUAUAACG